AACCGCUUUCGGGGCCACUGCAGCCUCCUCUUCCACUAUGACUGGAUCAGCGUCCCACUGGUGUACACCCAGGUGGUGACCAUCGCCGUCUACACCUUCUUCGUCACCUGCCUGAUCGGGCGGCAGUUCCUGGACCCAGCCCAGGGCUACGCAGGGCACGAGUUGGACCUGGGGGUCCCCGUCUUCACCCUCCUCCAGUUCUUCUUCUACGUGGGGUGGCUCAAGGUGGCCGAGCAGCUCAUCAACCCCUUCGGCGAGGACGAUGACGACUUUGAGACCAACACGCUCAUUGACCGCAACUUCCAGGUGUCGAUGCUGGCGGUGGACGAGCUGUACGGGGAGGUGCCAGCACUGGAGCGGGACCGGUACUGGGACGCCGCCAGCCCCCGGGCACCCUACACGGCCGCGGCCGCCCCGCUGCGCCAGCCUGCCUUCCGCGGCUCCGCCUUCGACGUGGCGCUGGCGAAGGAGGAGAUGCAGUUCCAGCCGCUGGAGGACAUUGGGGAGACCCUCGGGGACACCCUUGAGCCCCCCCCCACGGCCACCCCCAGGCACCUUCACCCGACGCUUCUCCCUGCUCCGCCGCAAGAACAGCGCUGGCUCUGAGGGGGGGCUUGGCCCCGAGCCUCCCCCGGGGGCCCCCCCCCGCGCCUGCUGCCCCAGGGGACGGGGAUGGGGACAGCCUCGGGGGGGACACAGCCGUUCUCCUGGGGGACGCCCCGGGAGGGAGCAGCAGCUCCCACGACCGCUGGCUCCUGCACCCCAGCGCUAAUGACAUAGUUUAAGGAGGCAAACCCCAAAACACCCCCCCCCCGAACACAGCUAAGCCUAUACAAGCCCCUGUUGGGAAUAAACCCCCAG
rnacentral:lncRNA from 1 species